UCCGUGACCCUUUUAGCCGCUGCGCUUCGUGACUUUGCCUUCUUCUCUGCCCAAAACCCUCCGCGCUCCACCUUCUUCUCUACUGCCGCCCUUCACCUCCUUUGCCCUUCCGCUGCACAGAACGCUGCCGCCACGAUUGCUCAUCGUUGCCCCUGGAUCUCUUGUGCGAACCCCGCAGACGCCUGACGUCCUAUAUAGUAUUACGUUAGGGCUGCCGAUCACGUCUUGCCCCACCUCUUCACGACAACCUUGUUCGUCGGAGGCUGACUUCAUGAAAAUGCCAUUUUUUGAUGAUACAUUUGAUGCAGUCUAUGUAUUCAAUCAACUUGCUAUGCUCUGUAGUUCCAUCUAUUUCUCUCAUUUUUAUGGGCAUUCUUAUAAUUUACGAAUGGUUUUCAAUUUGAUUUGACAAUGUUGGCUGCGACAAUAAGAUCUAUUGCAUGAAGACCAAUACAAUCCAAAUAAUGAAAUCCACAAAAAGGCCAAGGCUGAAAUCAAGCUUGGUAAUGAGCUUCUUGAUGUUAGAGCUACAAGACAAUGUCUUGAUGCUUUGAAGCUUGCAAGGUUUGAGGUAAAUAAAAAAUGUGGGGCUUGUGGCAGGAGGAAGGUAAAUAAAACUUAUCAUUCUCCAAAAUAUAUAUUUUGCAUAUGAUGAGUUAUGGAACUUCACGUUAUUUUGAUGUCAGCAUAGUCAAAACUACUUAUUAUGUUAUGCAUUUCUUAUUAUGUAGUUCUAUCUCUUUCAUAUCAUUGAGGACAUAACUAUGAAGUAUGUAUUUUGUUAAGUUUCUAGUUAUAAACUAGCAUGCAAUUUGUUAAGUGAAGUUCUCAUUCUAUUUUAGCGUUUGGAAAAAGUGUUACAGAUUAGUCAACAAUGGAAGUCAGAACUCUUUAAGCUCUUCGAAACAUAUAGCAAAUUUAGUGUAAAAUUUCCUUCUGCUUUAGUUUUUGAAAGUUAUAAAAUUUGUUUGGCAAACUUUGACUUUAUAAAAGUCCUUUUUAGUUCGUUAUGGAAUCCUUUUGCUUGUGGGUGUUGGAUAGGAUGUUCGUAUUGCAAAUAUUUUAUAAUUGAUGACGAGGACUAUGCAAUUCUUGAGUUCCCAACCGAGUUGAAUAGGAUCAGCUUAUAAGUGAGGUAACCAAUGAAAGUUUACCAUAUCAAAAUUGAGAAAAUCAAUUAGAGUUUUCAUAUUAGAAAAGUUUUUAAGCGGUUUUCUUUCUUUUUCUGGUAGGGUAGAUACACAGCAAACAACUAUUAUUAUUUUUUAAUCAUUUAUCUUUUCAAUACAUCAUUUAUGUUUUCUAUUUGAUUCAACUACUUGUUCAUUUCACUUUAUUUUUCAGAGCGAAAUUAUUAUCUUUUUUUAUGCAUUUCUUCAUUUCUUUUCUUUAAGUGCUCAACCUUUUAUCGUGUUCUUACUUUAGUCCUACCAAAUGAUUUUUAUUAUUUUUGGAUUGUAUAAGCCUAUAAUUAUUCCUAUUAGUAGUUAUAUCAUGUUUCUUGUUGUAGGUUUCUCUUGGUGCAAUCUCAACAUCGAAGAAGUGCAUUAUUUAUGUAUUCAAAGGGCCUAAUAUCAAAAGCUAUCAGGAUAAAGAAAGACAAUGUAGACUUUGUUGAGCGUGUAAUGAAUCUAAGUAGAGAAAGGAUAGAAAAUUAUAUGCAUCAGCAAACCUUUUUAGUUAACUAUAGGAGUAGGUUCCUUUUCAAUUAUUUUUAAUAUUGUAUUAGCUUUGGAUAUAAAAGAUUUUUCAUUAGUGUUUUAUUUGUAAAAUUGACUCAAAAUUUUAUUAGAUAAAUAAAAAUUAUGUAUUCUCAUUUUGAGUGA